rnacentral:lncRNA from 1 species
CUCAGAGGCCAUCUGGAGAACGGAGUGCACAUGUGUGUAUGUGCAUGUGUGUGAAUCAGUAUAUGUGGAUGUUGUGUAAUCCCAGCUGUGUGCAUGACUGUUUUGCUUGUGAGUUGAUGUAGGAGAUGGUGCAGUCCUGUCGUGUCAGAACCUGGCUGGGAGACCUCACAUCCCCACAUCGGCACCCAUGUUCUCACAGGUUAGUGUCUGUCUAAGUGGGAUGCUGUGUCUUUAGAAAUGGCCAUAGGUUAGUGUCUGUCUAAGGUGGGAUGCUGUGUCUUUAGAAAUGGCCAUAGGUUAGUGUCUGUCUAAGGUGGGAUGCUGUGUCUUUAG